rnacentral:rRNA from 1 species
AUUGAACGCUGGCGGCAUGCUUUACACAUGCAAGUCGAACGGUAACAGGCCUUCGGGUGCUGACGAGUGGCGAACGGGUGGGUAAUGCAUCGGAACGUACCCAGAGGUGGGGGAUAACGCAGCGAAAGCUGUGCUAAUACCGCAUGUGAUCUGAGGAUGAAAGCGGGGGACCGAGCAGCAAUGUUUGGCCUCGCGCCUUUGGAGCGGCCGAUGUCGGAUUAGCUAGUUGGUGGGGUAAAGGCCUACCAAGGCGACGAUCCGUAGCUGGUCUGAGAGGACGACCAGCCACACUGGAACUGAGACACGGCCCAGACUCCUACGGGAGGCAGCAGUGGGGAAUUUUGGACAAUGGGCGCAAGCCUGAUCCAGCAAUGCCGCGUGCGGGAAGAAGGCCUUCGGGUUGUAAACCGCUUUUGGCAGGAACGAAACGGUGUCCGCUAAUACCGGGCGCUAAUGACGGUACCUGCAGAAUAAGCACCGGCUAACUACGUG